AGAGUUUGAUCCUGGCUCAGAACUAACGCUGGCGGCGUGCCUAACACAUGCAAGUCGAACGAGAAAGUUGGCUUCGGCCGAUGAGUAAAGUGGCGCACGGGUGAGUAACGCGUGGAUAAUCUGCCUUUCAGCUGGGAAUAACGUACCGAAAGGUGCGCUAAUACCUGAUAAUACUCGACAACUACUGUUGUUUAGUCAAAGAAGGCCUCUGUUUACAAGCUUUUACUGAAAGAUGAGUCCGCGUACCAUUAGCUAGUUGAUAGGGUAAUGGCCUACCAAGGCGACGAUGGUUAGCUGGUCUGAGAGGAUGAUCAGCCACACUGGAACUGAGACACGGUCCAGACUCCUACGGGAGGCAGCAGUGAGGAAUAUUGCGCAAUGGGGGCAACCCUGACGCAGCAACGCCGCGUGAGUGAGGAAGGUUUUCGGAUCGUAAAGCUCUUCGAGCGGGAAGAAAUGCAUGGUGGCUAAUAUCCAUCAUGCUUGACGGUACCGCUAAAGGAAGCACCGGCUAACUCCGUGCCAGCAGCCGCGGUAAUACGGGGGGUGCUAGCGUUGUUCGGAAUUAUUGGGCGUAAAGAGCGUGUAGGCGGCUGAAUAAGUCAGAUGUGAAAUCCCUGGGCUUAACCCAGGAAGUGCAUUUGAAACUAUUCGGCUUGAGUAGGGGAGAGGAAAGUGGAAUUCCUGGUGUAGAGGUGAAAUUCGUAGAUAUCAGGAGGAACACCGGUGGCGAAGGCGACUUUCUGGCCCUAUACUGACGCUGAGACGCGAGAGCGUGGUAGCAAACAGGAUUAGAUACCCUGGUAGUCCACGCUGUAAACGAUGUUCACUAGGUGUUGGGGGUAUUGCCCUCUCAGUGCCGCAGCUAACGCAUUAAGUGAACCGCCUGGGGAGUACGGUCGCAAGAUUAAAACUCAAAUGAAUUGACGG
rnacentral:rRNA from 1 species